rnacentral:rRNA from 1 species
UACGUAGGGACCAAGCGUUGUUCGGAUUUACUGGGCGUAAAGGGCGCGUAGACGGCAAUUCAAGUCAUCUGUGAAAUCUCCGGGCUUAACCCGGAACGGUCAGAUGAUACUGCUUUGCUAGAGUGCGGAAGGGGCAAUCGGAAUUCUUGGUGUAGCGGUGAAAUGCGUAGAUAUCAAGAGGAACACCUGAGGUGAAGACGGGUUGCUGGGCCGACACUGACGCUGAUAGCGCGAAAGCCAGGGGAGCAAACGGGG